AUAUCUAUUAAUAGCUGAGAGGAAAUGAAUAGUGUUUUCUCUUUGUGGAGCAUUUUGAUUGGCAGGGUUUGACGGCUGUUUCAUAGAAUUUUCUCUCCACCGCCUGCUUCCCACCUCCCGCCAGAUCAAUAGGUUUUUCUCUCUCUCAUGAAAACCCUCUGGUUAGAUCCAGCAGCGACGCAACAUGAACAUACUAGAUCAACACAGCCUUGAGAGGUUAGGGUUUGGUAUGGGAUUACGACGGCUAAAACUCGGUGGAUUUCGACAAAUUCCAGUUAGCUUUGGUGAGAAUUGAACCAGGUAUCAAGAAUUAUCAUCUUUGUAUUAUUUCGGAUCUUUUUAUAUGAUUUGGGUUAAUUUUAUUAGCCUUUCUUCCCCACUUGGCCCUUAUUUUCAGAGAAUCGCCAAUUCUUGAUGAACAUUAGGAUUUAGGCACCAUGACCCCUUCUUCUCCAAUAUUCCAUUAUAAAACCCUUUUGUAAGUGUUCUUUUUUGUUGUAAUUUCGAACCCUUUUGUUUUCUCCAAAUGGAUAAUCUUUAAUUUGAUCGGGUUUAGGGUUUUUACAUCUGGGUUUCGAUUAGAUUAUAGUUAUUGAUAUGGGUUUGUUUAUUUGGUCUUUCUUUAUGUCUCUCUAAAAAAAUCGAGAACCCAUCCCACUCUUUAUCGCUUAUAAAUGUGGUGUGGCUUUGAGGUGUGAUAUGGCCUAUUGAAUUGAUGACUACAAGGAGUAUAGGUAUGAUAUAAAUGUUACCCCUUCAUUAACAACAAAUGAAACCAAGAAAUAUAAUUUUACAAUUACUUAUUUAAACAACUGUUUUGAGUUUAUGAAAGGAGACAUUGGCCCAUAUCAAAAUUUACAUGUUACUGAAGCAACUUCCAGCAAGAAAAAAUGGACUGCGAGGUCUGUGUUUUUGGUACAAAGACCAAGACAGGAAGAUUGUUUUGAUCCCGUAUGCGAAGAAAUCGGCGAAACAGUAUAAGGUGGGUAUUAAUAAGGUGACAGGGAUUUGGCCAUUUGGGAGGACUAUUGCAGCUAAAGCGAGAACUGUGUCGGUUAAAAGUGUAGCUCCGGUUGUGGCAGAACCUGUGGAUGCUACUACUACCGUUCCAGUGAAAUCGGCACCUGCAUUACUGGCUAUAUAUGGAGCGACUAUUCUUCCAUUUACGAUGUUGCAGGUUGCAUUGCCGAAGAAUAUGAUUGAGAGUUUGUAUGUGCCAACGUUUCGGGUUGGUUAUCCUGUUUGACGGAUGCUCUUGAUGCGCUGUAUGUAGAGGUUAAGUCUAAGGGUGUACUAUGACUGUUUUGCUAGCAAAGGCUGCUGUAACACCCCUAAUAUAUAUAUAUAUAUAUAUAUAUAUAUAUAUAUAUGUAUAGGAUAAUGCUUGGUGAAAAACCCCACUUUCUUAAGAAACUUAGCAAACUAUAUUUGUGGCUAUGAUGUUGCCACGUUUGAUCUGAUAUCAUGAGUGUAACUUUUAAAUGAAGGUUAUAUUAGUAAUUUUCUUUACCCCCCUAAGAAUUAUGAGAUGACCUCUUCAUUUAAUGCCCAUCAGAUCGUACAUUCACAAUCCCCCAUAUUUAUUUUCCAUAUUUCCCUUUUGCCUUUUAUCUCUUCUUCCUCACUCAUCAGAGAAUUUUCAAUCUUCAUACUUACACCAAAGUAGCAAGCAUCUCCAUUAAUAUCAAUGGAGACAAAUCCACCAACCUCUGAAUUAAUGUCGCCGGUCCGUAGUUUCCCAAACCUGUUCUUUUGCAGCGACUUCCAAAACGAUGAGGUUUUGGUGUUUUUAUUUUCAUGAAAGAAAUCAAAGAAUCAAGAUGCUGUCAAAAUGCUUGAAUUAAUGUUACCAGAGUUUGGCAUCAAGUUUGACAACGACAAUGAAGAAAAUGUUUCAGGAUGGUGAUGGAUACAAGGGAAACAAGAUCCAAUUCUCGGGACCGUUGGUUUUGUCAAACGUGGAUCAGAUGCUUAAGGAUCAUGACCAUGUUUAUGUUACAGCACAACACAACUAACACGUGUUAUAGUUUGAACUUCAUUACAUGCAUGUGUUACAUGGGACAUGAAACCCAUGUACAACGUAACACGUAUUAGUGCUAUGUAUUUUUGUUUACUAGUAAUAUGUAAUGUGAGACUCUUCUUGUUUUCUCUAGUACACGAUGUUAAAACGGUCUAGACUUAACACAUUUUCUGUUGGAGGC